rnacentral:rRNA from 1 species
CGCUUUCACUCCUACGGGAGGCAGCAGUGGGGAAUAUUGCACAAUGGGGGAAACCCUGAUGCAGCCAUGCCGCGUGUGUGAAGAAGGCCUUCGGGUUGUAAAGCACUUUCAGUAGGGAGGAAGGUAGUGUAGUUAACACCUGCAUUAUUUGACGUUACCUACAGAAGAAGCACCGGCUAACUCCGUGCCAGCAGCCGCGGUAAUACGGAGGGUGCGAGCGUUAAUCGGAAUUACUGGGCGUAAAGCGCUUGCAGGCGGCCUGUUAAGUCAGAUGUGAAAGCCCGGGGCUUAACCUCGGAAUUGCAUUUGAAACUGGCAGGCUAGAGUCUUGUAGAGGGGGUAGAAUUUCAGGUGUAGCGGUGAAAUGCGUAGAGAUCUGAAGGAAUACCAGUGGCGAAGGCGGCCCCCUGGACAAAGACUGACGCUCAGAUGCGAAAGCGUGGGGAGCAAACAGGAUUAGAUACCCUGGUAG